GUAUGCAUUAAAAGAUAAAAUAGAUUAAUUUAUAAUAGCAUGUUGGCAUCAAAAUCACACAUUUCAUUCAAUGGUAAAUCAUGUUUUUUCUUUUAAAAAAGUUUCUGUUUUUGUUUGCAAACUUAUGCAAUCAUGACAGACGUAAUGCUAAUUAAUUCUUGGCAAUAGUAUGUUAAAGAACACAAGGUUCAGCUAAAAUCCAUUUCUCUACCAAAGGUUUACCCCAUACUAUACUGUCCUUUUCAAAUAGAUAUUUACUCUUCUAUCGCCGAUAUCAUCUUCUCACAUCUGUUCUACUCAUAUGUAAUUCACUCACUCUUCCCCACCAAACAUACACACAGUUGUAUGGCUUCUUUAAGAUCUUUCAAGACCUCAUGAAAAACUAUUGGUUUGUCUUACACAUCUGCAAACAACAUUUCCAACAUGUUAUAUGCAUGAAUAGUGAGAUCUUAACAUCCCAAAGUAGAAAUAUCUACUUACAGGGCGCUCAUAGGCUGCA
rnacentral:misc_RNA from 1 species